rnacentral:rRNA from 1 species
AUGGCGGCGUGGACCUCCGUGGGCCUCGUGGCGGUGGCCGUGCUGGUCGUCGGCAUCGCAAUGCCGGCCUCCGCCGCCGUGCAGCCGCCCGCGCCCGCGCCCUCCAGCGACGGCACAUCGAUUGACCAGGGCAUCGCAUACGUGCUGAUGCUGGUGGCCCUUGUGCUCACCUACCUCAUCCACCCGCUGGACGCGUCCUCCCCGUACAGGCUCUUCUAA